ensembl:lncRNA
CACACACACACAGUAGCCUAAAUCCCCGUCAGUGUGUGUCAGUGUAGCCUAAAUCCCCGUCAGUAUGUGUGUGUGUGUGUGUGUGUGAGAAAGAGAGAGAGAGAGAGAGAGAGAGAAGGCUAUCCUGUCCCACUCCGUGCUACAGUGGCAAUGACGAAUAGCAACAGGUGCCUCUGCGUUCCGUUCUGUUCGCACCUGCACAGCGCGUCACACACACUCUGCUGUAAAAACACUCCUGGGAGAAAUAUGGUGAUACAUUGCCCAUAUAGGCUAAAAGAGAUCCAGGAAGUGCUUAUAUACCUGCUGCCCGAGUCCCACGCCUGAUAAUACAUCUAUUUUCCGUUCUAUAGUCUGGAUACACUGAUCUAAGGUCAGUUUUGCACACCACAGUCUAAUGGUUAAGGUCGGGGUCGAGGGAGGGCGAUCUGAUCCUAGAUCUGCGCCUAUGAGCAACUUCUACUUGGAGCCGCAACAGGCAGGUAGUUUCAUGAUUGCGACCUGGAUAAGAAGGAAGUCUUCCUCAUCUGUUGGCUGUGAAAGAAAGAGAGAGAGGAAAAGAGAGAGAGAGACAGAGGAAAAGAGGCUGAGAGAGAGGAAGAGAGAGAGAGAGAGGAAAAGAGGCUGAGAGAGAGGAAGAGAGAGAGAGAGAGGAAAAGAGGCUGAGCGAGAGGAAGAGAGAGAGACAGAGAGAGAGUACACUAAUAAUUAGGGGUUCAACAAGGGUUCUUCUAAGAUCCUCAACAUUCUUUGAAUAACCUUAGGGUUCUUGGCACUGAAAAUUGCCCCCAAAAGGUUCUUCCAAGAACCCCAUAGGAGGUGGGGUUCAUCGUGGAACCUCCUUAGUUGUUGGAGGUUCUUGCAGGAGCCUAACUGCCCAACUGAAACAUUUGGAUUUGAAUUUGAAAGGACAGCAGGAACUUAACUGAAGAACGUAAAGAUCUCCUCAAUUUAAGAUAAGGUUUGGCCCUUGUGUGAUCUAAAUGUAUAUUGUUUUAUGAUGAUACCAUCUAUCUUUUCAUAUUUGUGCAAAUCUUUCUAAAACAAAGAAAAUGGACACAAUUCAGUGGAAAUCAAUCAACAAAGAGGUAUAAAGACAAGGAGGCAUAAAAAAAGUAUGUCAAUAGGUAUUGGUAUGUUAUGCAGAUCACAUACCAUCCUCCUCCCUUCCUCUUCAAUAAAUAUCCCACAGGCCUCUACAUUAUGGACAAGACUUCACCCUCCCUACAGGGAACUUGUUUGAUCACCAUGCACUGCAAAAUCAUUCUGGCUGUGGAUACGGAGAACAUCAACACAUUAACAUCAACACACGAGAGGAUGUACCCAUUGGACUUGGGGCUCUGCUGGGACUUUACCUCAUGUCUCCAGCAGGAGGCACUCUUUCCCCUGGUCUAAAAAAUAUCCCAAUGCUCCAGGGCAGUGAUUGGGGACAUUGCGCUGUGUAGGAUGCCGUCUUUCGGGUGGGACGUUAAACGGGUGUCCUGACUCUCUGAGGUCAUUAAAGAUCGCAUGGCACUUAUCGUAAGAGUAGGGGUGUUAACCCCGGUGUCCUGGCUAAAAUCCCAAUCUGGCCCUCAUACCAUCACAGUCACCUAAUCAUCCCCAGUUUACAGUUGGCUAAUUCAUCCCUCUCCUCUCCCCUGUAACUAUUCUCCAGGUUGUUGCUGUAAAUGAGAACGUGUUCUCAGUCAACUUACCUGGUAAAAUAACGGUAAAAUAAUAUAUAUAUACAUUUAAAUAUUUUUUACAUUUUGCUUUGCCAUUAAAAUCAUAAUAAGCACUGAGA